UACGUAGGGCGCAAGCGUUAUCCGGAAUUAUUGGGCGUAAAGAGCUUGUAGGCGGUUUGUCGCGUCUGCUGUGAAAAUCCGGGGCUCAACCCCGGACUUGCAGUGGGUACGGGCAGACUAGAGUGUGGUAGGGGAGACUGGGAAUUCCUGGUGUAGCGGUGAAAUGCGCAGAUAUCAGGAGGAACACCGAUGGCGAAGGCAGGUCUCUGGGCCACUACUGACGCUGGAGAAGCGGAAAGCAUGGGGAGCGAACAGG
rnacentral:rRNA from 1 species